UGGUGAAUAUUGGACAAUGGGCGAAAGCCUGAUCCAGCCAUGCCGCGUGUGUGAAGAAGGUCUUCGGAUUGUAAAGCACUUUAAGUUGGGAGGAAGGGCAGUAAGCGAAUACCUUGCUGUUUUGACGUUACCGACAGAAUAAGCACCGGCUAACUCUGUGCCAGCAGCCGCGGUAAUACAGAGGGUGCAAGCGUUAAUCGGAAUUACUGGGCGUAAAGCGCGCGUAGGUGGUUCGUUAAGUUGAAUGUGAAAGCCCCGGGCUCAACCUGGGAACUGCAUCCAAAACUGGCGAGCUAGAGUAGGGCAGAGGGUGGUGGAAUUUCCUGUGUAGCGGUGAAAUGCGUAGAUAUAGGAAGGAACACCAGUGGCGAAGGCGACCACCUGGGCUCAUACUGACACUGAGGUGCGAAAGCGUGGGGAGCAAACAGG
rnacentral:rRNA from 1 species